rnacentral:rRNA from 1 species
UACGGAGGGUGCGAGCGUUGUCCGGAAUCAUUGGGCGUAAAGGGCGCGUAGGUGGCCCGGUCAGUCUUUGGUGAAAGCGCGGGGCUCAACCCUGCGUCGGCCAGGGAUACUGCCGCGGCUCGAGCACUGUAGAGGCAGGCGGAAUUCCGGGUGCAGCGGUGGAAUGCGUAGAGAUCCGGAAGAACACCGGUGGCGAAGGCGGCCUGCUGGGCAGUUUAGCUGACACUGAGGCGCGACAGCGUGGGGAGCAAACAGG